rnacentral:lncRNA from 10 species
ACAGUAUCAAGCUAUUUGGAUUCAAAUGAGAGAAAUUAACCAAACACAACAAAAGCCUGAUCUAAAGUGAGGAAAUGAUCAACCAGGCAGGUACUAAUUCAAAUUUAGGAGGCAAGUGGAUAUCCAGAAAUCUACAGUCAACAACAGAGACUAAAACCAUGAGUUAGAUGAUAUCACCCAGACGGACAAUAAAAAACUUAAAUGGGUCUGGCAGGAAAACUGAAAGGACAUUGCUGAAGAGGUGAGUGGAAAAGAAAAGAGUGUGAUGACUCAGAGAUCAACGGGAAAUCUCCUGUCGGGAAUGACAGAGCUUUCUGUGUCAAGGAACUGCUGAAACAUCAAGUAAGAUGACGGACAGCUGAAGAGUCCACAGGAUUUGGUCUGGAGUGACCUUGGGAGGGUGGUUUAAAGGGUAGGUAGAUAUAGAAGGAAGAUUUUGGUAAACUGUGGAGUGACAGGAAGGUGAAGAAGAGAGACAGUAGAGACAAUUGGCACAGGAAAACUUUUUCAAGAAGUUUAGCUAUAAAGGAGAGAAAAGGCAUUAACCAGAGA